CCUACGGGAGGCAGCAGUGGGGGAUAUUGCACAAUGGGGGAAACCCUGAUGCAGCGACGCCGCGUGUGGGAAGACGGUCCUCUGGAUUGUAAACCACUGUCCCCAGGGCCGAAGAUGACGGUACCUGGGGAGGAAGCUCCGGCUAACUACGUGCCAGCAGCAGCGGUAAUACGUAGGGUGCGAGCGUUGUCCGGAUUUACUGGGUGUAAAGGGAGCGUAGGCGUGGAUGCAAGUGGGGUGUCAAAACUACCGGCUCAACUGGUAGUAGCACACAAAACUGCAGCUCUUGAGUGAAGUAGAGGCAGGCGGAAUUCCUAGUGUAGCGGUGAAAUGCGUAGAUAUUAGGAGGAACACCAGUGGCGAAGGCGGCCUGCUGGGCUUUUACUGACGCUGAGGCUCGAAAGUGUGGGGAGCAAACAGGAUUAGAUACCCGGGUAGUC
rnacentral:rRNA from 1 species